rnacentral:rRNA from 1 species
AUUGAACGCUGGCGGCAUGCUUUACACAUGCAAGUUGAACGGCAGCGCGGGCUUCGGCCUGGCGGCGAGUGGCGAACGGGUGAGUAAUAUAUCGGAACGUACCCAAGAGUGGGGAUAACGUAGCGAAAGUUACGCUAAUACCGCAUACGAUCUAAGGAUGAAAGCAGGGGAUCGCAAGACCUUGUGCUCCUGGAGCGGCCGAUAUCUGAUUAGCUAGUUGGUGGGGUAAAGGCCCACCAAGGCAACGAUCAGUAGCUGGUCUGAGAGGACGACCAGCCACACUGGAACUGAGACACGGUCCAGACUCCUACGGAGGCAGCAGUGGGGAAUUUUGGACAAUGGGGGCAACCCUGAUCCAGCAAUGCCGCGUGAGUGAAGAAGGCC